rnacentral:snRNA from 1 species
AUCGCUUCUCGGCCUUUUGGCUAAGAUCAAGUGUAGUAUCAUAAUCAAGGCGCACUAAUCGUUUAUUGAUUUAUGUGUAGGGCUGUACACGAACGUGAAGCCAUGAUCCCUA